rnacentral:lncRNA from 1 species
AAAGGAAGAGCCAGAAAAGAAAGAGAUAAAAGCAUAUACUUACGAAGAACUUCAGAAAGGUCUGUGUUUUUAAUGCUUUAUUCCCUGGCUUCGUAACAGAAGUGGUAUUUAUAUCAAGAAUUGAAAGCUGCUGAUGAGAAUAUAUUGGGAAGAGGAGAUGGAAGAGGUACAGCUUGGUCGGAACAAAAUCAGCUGUUCACUUAAGAGCGACUUUUCUCUGCGAUGCGAAGUGCGAUGAUUUCCUCACGUGACCUGACUUGACCUGCGGCGGUUUAACCCUGACCUGACCUCGCCGACAAGUCAAGACCUUAAGGGAAUUUCUGAUCUAAGGAGGUAGAUAAAGGAAAUUCGGCAUCAAGCAACCGCUGGACCGAGAGCCGUUCCUCCGCCUGCUUUGUGCUUGAUUUUUUCGUUAAUAACCCGAUGUCUUUGUGAGAAUUUGUGAUUUAUUUUUUUUCCCCCGUCCAUGGUAGUGUGUAUGCGUGGCUAUAAACAUGCGCCAAAUAAAAUAUAUUUCAGUG